rnacentral:lncRNA from 1 species
GAUGCUGAGGAUAAUGAGGCUACCGGUUCUGAGGCCGGUAGCGAGGAGGAUUCUGAGCCCUUAGAGGGUUAAGUUUUUGUAUUUUUCAUUUUUAUGUUUAUUUCUAUUGUAGUUUCGGAUUCUGUAUUUUGACUUUGGUUUUGUACUGUUGGGGUGUUUUGUCCCCCAUGAACAAUUUAAAUUUUCAGUAAUGUUAUUUAUUUAUGUUUUUAAUUUUGUUUGUUUAAUAAAUUUUUGGUUGGUUAAGUGGCAAACCUUCUAGAUUGGUUGCUCCUCAAAGAAGUACCCAAUGAAGGUGCAUCCGAG